CGGGGGAGGCCGGAUCCUGGGCUGUGUCCGGGCGCCCUGUGCUCCGGGGCCUGCGCUGUUGGAUUCGCGCUCCCGCCCCGCAGCCCCCU
rnacentral:pre_miRNA from 1 species